rnacentral:misc_RNA from 1 species
GUAUUUGUUUUAUAGGCAAUAAAGCCCAUUGAUACAUUCUUAUAACAUACAUUUGGGGUAUAUAUAAAAACGUAGACUUCAGAUUGAGAGAUAAUUAACUACAAGGAAAGCUGACUCGCGCACAGCAGAUCCUCAGACCGAGUUACCCUCGAAAUGUUUUUCUUAUUCUUAAUCAAAAAGUCUACAAAAGGUGCACAGGUGGAGAAGUAAAGAUGGAGAGGCGUGCACUUGCUCCUAAGAACCAGCAACAACCACUACCAAGUUUAUUCAAUAAUGAUCCUUCCGCAGGUUCACCUACGGAAA